AUUGAACGCUGGCGGCAGGCCUAACACAUGCAAGUCGAGCGAGUGGCGGACGGGUGAGUAAUGUCUGGGGAACUGCCCGAUAGAGGGGGAUAACUACUGGAAACGGUGGCUAAUACCGCAUACCAUCGGAUGUACCCAUAUGGGAUUAGCUAGUAGGUGGGGUAAAGGCUCACCUAGGCGACGAUCCCUAGCUGGUCUGAGAGGAUGACCAGCCACACUGGAACUGAGACAAGGUCCAGACUCCUACGGGAGGCAGCAGUGGGGAAUAUUGCACAAUGGGCGCAAGCCUGAUGCAGCCAUGCCGCGUGUAUGAAGAAGGCCUUAGGGUUGUAAAGUACUUUCAGCGGGGAGGCGUUACCCGCAGAAGAAGCACCGGCUAACUCCGUGCCAGCAGCCGCGGUAAUUC
rnacentral:rRNA from 1 species